rnacentral:lncRNA from 1 species
AUAUUGUAAAAACAUCAAUACCAUAUAGAGCAUAUAAGGCAUAUUAUGCUGUAUAUAACUGUAAAGACACAAAACAGCAUAUAUGGUAUUGCUGUUUUGUGUCCCUGCAAAUGCUGUAAAAAUGUUUCCAUAUUCAACCAAUUCAAUACCAGUAGUGAUUAUCAAUUUAAUCUGUGUCAGAGUCAAGCUGGAUAUUCAGUGGGAUGUAAGAUGGCUAAUAAAACAGAAUCAAAAAUUAACAUGGGAACUAGAACUAAGAAAGAAGAAUACUGCCUAAAAUUGAUUCAAAACAGAUUCUAAAUGCUCAUGGAAGAGGAAAAUGUCUUACAGAAGGCAUACAAUGGAACAGUGAUGAUCAUCAAGGACAAUGUGGAGGAAACUUCACAUUCAACCAAAAAAUCUUGUCAAGAAAAUAUCUGCCAAAAUAUGAGUUGAUUGAAAAGAUAAGGAAAAUGAAAGUCAUAUCAUCAAUCAAUCCAUAAUAGGAUAUAGAAAAAUAUGCAAAGUAAUACAAAAGAAAAUACAAAAAGAUUUAAGGAGAUUCAAUGUGAAAAAGAAUCAAACAGCCAUUAUUUUCCAACUGAAGCCAGUAAUUUUCAGCAAUUUCUUUGCUUGAAGCCUGAUAUAUUUUCUUCAACGUAAAAAAAAAGAACCAAACAAUAGACUAUUGCUGAUUGACUGUUGACUCUGGUCAGCAAGAUAGGACAUAAUGACUGGCAUACAUCAACUAACUGAAAUCAAAAAAAGAUAAUGGAGAACUUAUCACUGACAGAGAAAUACAGCAGAAAAAUAACAGUCUUCUAU